AACCCCUGUGAACAUACCAAUUGUUGCCUCGGCGGAUCAGCCCGCUCCCGGUAAAACGGGACGGCCCGCCAGAGGACCCCUAAACUCUGUUUCUAUAUGUAACUUCUGAGUAAAACCAUAAAUAAAUCAAAACUUUCAACAACGGAUCUCUUGGUUCUGGCAUCGAUGAAGAACGCAGCAAAAUGCGAUAAGUAAUGUGAAUUGCAGAAUUCAGUGAAUCAUCGAAUCUUUGAACGCACAUUGCGCCCGCCAGUAUUCUGGCGGGCAUGCCUGUUCGAGCGUCAUUUCAACCCUCAAGCCCUCGGGUUUGGUGUUGGGGAUCGGCGAGCCCUUGCGGCAAGCCGGCCCCGAAAUCUAGUGGCGGUCUCGCUGCAGCUUCCAUUGCGUAGUAGUAAAACCCUCGCAACUGGUACGCGGCGCGGCCAAGCCGUUAAACCCCCAACUUCUGAAUGUUGACCUCGGAUCAGGUAGGAAUACCCGCUGAACUUAAGCAUAUCAAUAAGUCGGAGGAAGG
rnacentral:rRNA from 1 species